GAGGGAGGGAAGAGGGGUAGGGCAGUGCCGGGGGUUGAUGGUGGGGUGAAUAUCCACGGGAUUUACUUUAUUGCAGGAAAUGGGAGACGGCGCCUCCAGCGAGGCGUUAGAAGCCUGCGGGGAUGGAAAAGCCAAGGAGGGAGGGAGAGAUUGCUGCCCGAAGAAUUUGCCUUGGCUGAGGCUUAGGGAUCGAUACACUGCCUGCAGACCCGGAGCAGCCUCCAUCUCCCCCAACCCCCAGCCGAGGUGGAGUUCGCAGGAAGGUCAUGCAGCCGUCCAGGUCUCCCGCACCGUUACUUUGGAGCUAUGGCCUUAGCUAUUUGAGACUGAUCUUGAACUUACGCAGCCAAAGAUGACACUGAGCUUUCUGCCUCUGGACUGCUUGGAAUACAGGUGUGUCCCACCAUGCCUGUGUUCAUGUACUGCUGGCAAUCAAGUCCGGGGCUUUGUGACUACGAGAUGGCAAGCACUCUACAUCCCUAUCCCCAUUCCCUAUUUAAAACAAAACAAAACAAAACAAAACAAAACUAUUCUUUGUGUUUAUUUAUGUGUCCUUGUUUGUAUGUAUAGCAGGAGGUGACCACAGGGGACAAGAGAGGACAUCAGAACCUCUAGAACUGGAGUGACAGGCAGUUGGGCACCACCUGACACA
rnacentral:lncRNA from 1 species